rnacentral:rRNA from 1 species
AUGGUUCUUCUCCAGGGAGCUCAUGAGCUCUGGCUAGGCCCCCUGCAGCUGUUGCUGCUGCUGCUGCUGCAAGUUGACGAGCUUGUGGUAUGCGCCAUUCUUGUUCUCGACCAGGUGCUGGUGAUCCCCCUGCUCGAUGAUCUUGCCGUCCUGGAUCACCGAGAUGACGUCGGCGUUCUUGAUCGUGGACAGCCGGUGCGCCACCAUCACGGUGGUCCGGUUCUUCAUCACCCUGUCCAGCGCCUGCUGCACCACGCGCUCCGACUCCACGUCCAGCGCGCUCGUCGCCUCGUCCAGGAGCAGGAUGGCCGGGUCCUUGACGAUGGCACGUGCGAUGGCGAUGCGCUGCUUCUGCCCGCCGGAGAGCUGCACGCCGCGCUCCCCGACCUUCGUCUGGUACCCCUCCGGCAGCGAGCUGAUGAAGGUGUGCGCGUUCGCCAGCUUCGCCGCCUCGAUGACCUCGGCCUCUGUCGCGCCGUCCUUGCCGUAGAGGAUGUUUUCGUAGAUUGUCGUCGCGAACAGCGCCGGCUCUUGCUGCACCAGGCCGAUGUGCCUCCUGAGCGACUUCAGCUUAAGCUUCUUGAUGUCCUUUCCUGCAAAACCCACCAUUGUACUUUGUUCAGCUCCGCUCAUCUGGAACAGAAGCUGUCAUGUUUGAAAUUUGAACAGCAAAAUACCAUCGAUCAAAACUUUUCCGGCGAUCGGGUCGUAGAAGCGGAGGAUGAGCGAAAGAACGGUGCUCUUGCCGGAGCCGCUCAUCCCGACGAGCGCCAUGCUCUUGCCGGCUUUCAUCAGGAGGUCGAGCCCUUUGAACACGGCCACCUCCGACCUCGACGGGUACCGGAAUUCAACGUCCCGCAGUUGGAUCACUCCCUCCACCUUCUUGAUGUCGUCGCCGGUAUCGAUCUCUACCUCGGUCUUCCUGUCCAGGAUGUCGAACACCGAGGACGCCAUCUGGUUCCCCUUGAUGAUGUCCGGCGCCAUCGCCAGCGUCUCGCCCAUUGCCAGCGCUGUCACUAUGAGCACCAUGAAGGACUUCAUCACGGACCUGAAGGUGGCCAACUCCUUGCUCAUCAGAUGCGAACCGUACCUGAAAUUUUCAGACAUUUCACCAGUUGCUCUGGGAGUACAGCAAAUUUAGACUGA